GAUGAGAACGCAGCGAAAUGCGAUAAGUAGUGUGAAUUGCAGAAUUCAGUGAAUCAUCGAAUCUUUGAACGCACAUUGCGCCCCUUGGUAUUCCAUGGGGCAUGCCUGUUCGAGCGUCAUUUGUACCCUCAAGCUUUGCUUGGUGUUGGGCGUCUUGUCGUAUUACGACUCGCCUUAAAUACAUUGGCAGCCGGCACUUUGGCCUAGGAGCGCAGCACAUUUUGCGAUCGUAGCCCGUUGUACUGGCGUCCAUCAAGAACAUUUACCACGUUUGACCUCGGAUCAGGUAGGGAUACCCGCUGAACUUAAGCAUAUCAAUAAGCGGAGGA
rnacentral:misc_RNA from 1 species